GAAUGUAUGCCUUUGAUCCUUGCCGCAACAGGAUAAUGUUGUUAGUUAACGAUAAUCAAGAAUAGAAAUGAACGUCAACGUAUCAAAUCAACAAAUAUUCGGUACACAAGAAUGUCGGAAGCACAUACGUCUGAUAACGCCAGUCCUUUUGGUCGCACACUGAUCCAGACCUGGCAAACGGCUGUUAUAGGUGACUGCUGUCGACUGUAAUCUGAUUGAGUCGGAUUAAUCGGAUUAAACCGCUGCUGCAUGCCUGAACUGAGGCGAUGGCGUGUUGUAGUUGACCGAUUCCCACAGAGACCGUAGAACAGAUCCACCCAGGGCGAGGACACAUUCCACAUCAGUGUGCUCUAUCCUCAACUAUUCACAGACCUGUAAUAACAUGUGCAGAGGCA